UACAGCAACUGUACCCAUCUAUACCAUUUUUUCUUCCCUGCUGCUUACCAAAGGUAUGGCUAAACAACAGUGCUCAUUCCUUCUGUGGGGGAAAAAAAAAUAGAGAACAGGAGACUGUGAUGCAGCAUUUAAAGUGCUUGUUCAGGAUUGAAUUAGAAGCCAUGAUUGCUCCGUUCUCAUUCCCUUCUUCAGAGCUGACCUAUGCUUGUUUCUUUCUGAAGACACAGAAUAUUUACAGGAAAGCUGAAAUAAUAAUGAUCACGCAGCAGUUUAAAUCCUCUUAAAUAUAAUCAAGGUCAACAAAGGACACUCAUAUAAAAAGGUAUGGAUUAGAUAUUUUGAACAUAAAAUCCAGUUGAUAAUGAAAUCUAAAAAUAAAACCUUUUCUGCGUUGUAUAAUGCCAACAUGACAUCUUGAUGUCCAUAUAACCUUUUGCUUUUCCGUCAAUAUUAUUGGGCGGCACUGAUGGCAGAGAUGGCAUUAAGGAUUGUCAGAAUGAAAUACAUGUUUUAAUAAUAAGGCAAUUAUUAUCUGCUUAUGAUGUAUGAAUGUAAUAGUUUUUUAAUGUAUUGAAUUAAACUCUAUCUGC
rnacentral:lncRNA from 7 species